UACGUAGGGGGCAAGCGUUGUCCGGAAUUAUUGGGCGUAAAGAGCGUGUAGGCGGCCAGAUAAGUCCGCUGUGAAAUCUCGAGGCUCAACUUCGAGCUGUCGGUGGAAACUAUCUGGCUAGAGUCCGGAAGAGGAGAAUGGAAUUCCUGGUGUAGCGGUGAAAUGCGCAGAUAUCAGGAGGAACACCGGUGGCGAAGGCGGUUCUCUGGGCAUUACCUGACGCUGAGGAGCGAAAGUGUGGGGAGCGAACAGG
rnacentral:rRNA from 1 species